AGAGUUUGAUCCUGGCUCAGGAUGAACGCUAGCGGCAGGCUUAACACAUGCAAGUCGAGGGGCAGCGGGAAAGAGAUUUCGGUCUUUUUUGCCGGCGACCGGCGCACGGGUGAGUAACACGUAUGCAACCUGCCCAUAGCAGGGGGAUAACCCGGAGAAAUCCGGACUAAUACCGCGUAACAAGUGAUGGAGGCAUCUCUAUUGUUUUAAAGACAGGCAACUGUCGGCUAUGGAUGGGCAUGCGGUGCAUUAGCUAGUUGGCGGGGUAACGGCCCACCAAGCCGACGAUGCGUAGGGGUUCUGAGAGGAAGGUCCCCCACAUUGGAACUGAGACACGGUCCAAACUCCUACGGGAGGCAGCAGUGAGGAAUAUUGGUCAAUGGCCGGAAGGCUGAACCAGCCAAGUCGCGUGAGGGAAUAAGGCCCUACGGGUCGUAAACCUCUUUUGCCAGGGAGCAAUGCCGUCCACGUGUGGACGGAAGGAGAGUACCUGGAGAAAAAGCAUCGGCUAACUCCGUGCCAGCAGCCGCGGUAAUACGGAGGAUGCGAGCGUUAUCCGGAUUUAUUGGGUUUAAAGGGUGCGUAGGCGGCCUGCCAAGUCAGCGGUAAAAUUGCGGGGCUCAACCCCGUACAGCCGUUGAAACUGCCGGGCUCGAGUGGGCGAGAAGUAUGCGGAAUGCGUGGUGUAGCGGUGAAAUGCAUAGAUAUCACGCAGAACCCCGAUUGCGAAGGCAGCAUACCGGCGCCCGACUGACGCUGAGGCACGAAAGUGCGGGGAUCAAACAGGAUUAGAUACCCUGGUAGUCCGCACAGUAAACGAUGAAUGCUAGCUGUCCGGGGGGAUUGACCCCUGGGUGGCACAGCGAAAGCGUUAAGCAUUCCACCUGGGGAGUACGCCGGCAACGGUGAAACUCAAAGGAAUUGACGGGGGCCCGCACAAGCGGAGGAACAUGUGGUUUAAUUCGAUGAUACGCGAGGAACCUUACCCGGGCUCAAACGCCGAAGGGACAUUCCCCGAAAGGGGAUUGGCCAGCAAUGGUCUUCGGCGAGGUGCUGCAUGGUUGUCGUCAGCUCGUGCCGUGAGGUGUCGGCUUAAGUGCCAUAACGAGCGCAACCCCCACCGACAGUUGCUAACUGGUCAAGCAGAGGACUCUGUCGGGACUGCCGGCGCAAGCUGCGAGGAAGGCGGGGAUGACGUCAAAUCAGCACGGCCCUUACGUCCGGGGCGACACACGUGUUACAAUGGCAGGUACAGCGGGAUGCCAUGGGGCGACCCAGAGCGGAACCCGAAAACCUGUCUCAGUUCGGAUUGGAGUCUGCAACCCGACUCCAUGAAGCUGGAUUCGCUAGUAAUCGCGCAUCAGCCACGGCGCGGUGAAUACG
rnacentral:rRNA from 1 species